rnacentral:tRNA from 1 species
GCGGGUGUGGCGGAAUUGGCAGACGCACUAGACUUAGGAUCUAGCGCCUUACGGCGUGGGGGGUCGGCUCCCUUCACCCGCC